ensembl:lncRNA
GAAACACAGACUCUGGUCUUAACACUCUUCCUGCUGUGAGCUUUGAUUGACACUUCUGUCAUCUGACUUCUUUAGCAUGGCAAAUGUUCUCAACCUAAACCCUGUUUUGUCUGUCAUCAUAAUUUAUUUAAUCAUAUUUUACCAUACCUUCCACCCUUCCCCCAUCCCCUCUUGCCACAGUUACACACUUUUUUUUUUUUUCUCUGUGCACCGAAUUGUAAACUAGGCAUUUUUGUGUCACAUUUAUCAAAGGAACGGCCGGGUGAUGUGAAUUAAGACAGAUUAUUGGUCAAUAAUUCAGAAGAUGCAGUAGAUGAACUGGACCCACCAGACCACCUGAUGCUGAAGUGAAGAUCUGGGAUGUAAAUAAAUAAUUGCAUUCUUUUCGGUUGUGCCUUAACAUAAAAUAUUAAGCUGUUUGGAUGAUUGAAUUUGCGGCUAAAUUACAGGUUGCCUGAAGAUGCGGUGAGGGAAAUGCUGGCCGAUGUGUGCAAACGGUCCAGAGCAGGAACAUCACACACACUCCAGCCCCAGGCAAAAGAAUGGGCUGAAAUAUUUUUAAACAGUAAUUACCUGGCCGGGAUCCGACAGAGGGGGAUUAAUGGAGGAACGCGGAGCAUCAGGUUCCAGAGAUGUGUGCUGGAAGGUACGAUGAGGGAGAGACGCGCUUCUCCGUCACACACGGGAAAUGAGGAAACGGCAGAUUUCUGAUGUCGAGCUGUUUCUCUGUUCUUUUCCACCAGCACAAGUCAUCAGCUCACGCCAAGCCCUUCACAAACUAACAGGAGCUAUUUAGUCUUUUAAAUCAAGUCUGGGAGAUGUUUCAGGAUUUGCCUUUUUCUUCGUUUAACCCUUUGUUUUUUUUUUGUUUUUGUCGUGGUUAAAGUAACUGUAUUUGGUGCUAGUUAACUCUCAUAGUACAUUUUUAUAAACCAGACAUCUGGACUUUAUUUUUCUUGGAGUGAUGAUCUACAGUACAUUGACUUUCACUAGUUAGUUGCAAAAGGCAAGCAGCUACUUAUGAGGUCUUGCUCAGGUUGACUGAAUAUUAUGGAAGACCAUUUCCAACACUGAAUAAAAAAAUUAUGAUUGAAACUUUUUAUCUCA